GACGAACGCUGGCGGCGCGCUUAACACAUGCAAGUCGAACGGAAAGGCCUGCUUUCCCUUGUGGAUUGCGGGUACUCGAGUGGCGAACGGGUGAGUAACACGUGAGUGAUCUGCCCCCAACUUGGGUAUAAGCCUGGGAAACUGGGUCUAAUUCCCGAUAGGACUGCAGGGUGGUGCCUGUGGUGGAAAACGAGUUUCUAGUGGUUGGGGAUGAGCUCGCGGCCUAUCAGCUUGUUGGUGGGGUAAUGGCCUACCAAGGCGGCGACGGGUAGCCGGCCUGAGAGGGUGGACGGCCACAUUGGGACUGAGAUACGGCCCAGACGCCUACGGGAGGCAGCAGUGGGGAAUAUUGCACAAUGGGCGGAAGCCUGAUGCAGCGACGCCGCGUGGGGGAUGACGGCCUUCGGGUUGUAAACUCCUUUCGACCGCGAGGAAGCCACCUGGUUGGAAGGGUGGUGACGGUAGUGGUAGAAGAAGCACCGGCUAACUACGUG
rnacentral:rRNA from 1 species